UGUUGCAAGGCUAAAUUUCUGUCCCUAUCCAAUAUACCCUCAUUUCCCGUGGCAGUCUAAAUUUCUCCGACCUUAAUCCCUUAAUCUAUUACAGAACCUACCUAUUGUAUUUAUUGUGAACUUGUUCUGGUCCUGAAUAUGCAUGAAAUAUUUGCCACUGGACGUUAAGCAACCAACAAUCAAUCAAUCCUAUGUGUAGGGACAGUGCCACUCUGCACGUUAAAGAACCCUUGCCACAACUCUUUGAGGGGUCAGUAGGUGGCCUGUUGCAAGGCUUAAUUUCUGUCCAACAUAUCCUCCUCUCAGUUGGCAGUCAAAAACAAUGAGAAAAUCAACUAACAUUAAAAUUUUGCCAGAUUCUGAAUUAGAAUGACUUUGUUAAUACCUCUAACCUUUAACAUCUGAUAUUUUUAUUAUCUAGAGCUCUGUAAAAAAAAUAUAAAAAAAGAAAAUACCAAAAAAUAAUAUAUGAAAACAAAAUCGUUUGUAAACAGAGUUCUAGAUAAUAAACAUUGAGGGUGGUGUAAAAGGUGGGAUUAUUGUAAUAUUUUUUAUGACCCCCACUUUAAAGUCUUCUAAAGUUAUCAUGUUUAAAACAAACAAAAAUUGGAAUGGCAAUUUAAAAAGUAUAGUUCCUAUGUGUAGGGACAGUGCCACUCUGCACGUUAAAGAACCCUUGCCACAAGUUUUUGAGGGGUCAGUAGGUGGCCUGUUGCAAGGCUUUAUUUCUGUCCAACAUAUCCUCCUGUCAGUUGGCAGUCAAAAUUUCCCUUACCUUCGUCAUGGGCCCACUUGAUAGAACCUACAAAUUGAUUUGUUAUGAAAAGAAGAGAUGCGAGACAACUAUCCUACAGAGACAAAAUGAAGUUGCAUGUUACUGUAUGGACUUCAACAAUGAGAAAAUCAACUAACAUUAAAAUUUUGCAAUAUUCUGAAUUAGAAUGACUUUGUUAAUACCUCUAACCUUUAACAUCUGAUAUUUUUAGUAUCUAGAGCUCUGUAAAAAAAAAAAUAAAAAAAAAUAUAAAAAAUGAAAAUACUAUAAAAUAAUAUGAAAACAAAAUCGUUUGUAAACAGAGUUCUAGAUAAUAAACAUUGAGGGUGGUGUAAAAGGUGGGAUUAUUGUAAUAUUUUUUAUGACCCCCACCUUAAAGUCUUCUUAUGUUAUCAUGUUUAAAACAAACAAAAAUUGGAAUGGCAAUUUAAAAAGUAUAGUUCCUAUAUGUGUAGGGACAGUGCCACUAUGUACAUUAAAGAACCCUUGCCACAAGUAUUUGAGGGGUCAGUAGGUGGCCUGUUGCAAGGCUUAAUUUCUGUCCAACAUAUCCUCCUCUCAGUUGGCAGUCAAAAUUUCCCUUACCUUCGUCAUGGGCCAACUUUAUAGAACCUACAAAUUGAUUUGUUGUGAAAAGAAGAGAUGCGAGACAACUAUCCUACAGAGACCAAAUGAAGUUGCAUGUUACUGUAUGGACUUCAACAAUGAGAAAAUCAACUAACAUUAAAAUUUUGCAAUAUUCUGAAUUAGAAUGACUUUGUUAAUACCUCUAACCUUUAACAUCUGAUAUCUUUAGUAUCUAGAGCUCUGUAAAAAAAAAUAAAAAAAAAUAUAAAAAAUGAAAAUACUAUAAAAUAAUAUGAAAACAAAAUCAUUUGUAAACAGAGUUCUAGAUAAUAAACAUUGAGGGUGGUGUAAAAGGUGGGAUUAUUGUAAUAUUUUUUAUGACCCCCACUUUAAAGUCUUCUAAAGUUAUCAUGUUUAAAACAAACAAAAAUUGGAAUGGCAAUUUAAAAAGUAUAGUUCCUAUAUGUGUAGGGACAGUGCCACUCUGCACGUUAAAGAACCCUUGCCACAACUUUUUGAGGGGUCAGUAGGUGGCCUGUUACAAGGCUUUAUUUCUGUCCAACAUAUCCUCCUCUCAGUUGGCAGUCAAAAUUUCCUUUACCUUCGUCAUGGGCCCACUUUAUAGAACCUACAAAUUGAUUUGUUAUGGAAAGAAGAGAUGCGAGACAACUAUCCUACAGAGACCAAAUGAAGUUGCAUGUUACUGUAUGGACUUCAACAAUGAGAAAAUCAACUAACAUUAAAAUUUUGCAAUAUUCUGAAUUAGAAUGACUUUGUUAAUACCUCUAACCUUUAACAUCUGAUAUUUUUAGUAUCUAGAGCUCUGUAAAAAAAAAUUAAAAAAAAUAUAAAAAAUGAAAAUACUAUAAAAUAAUAUGAAAACAAAAUCAUUUGUAAACAGAGUUCUAGAUAAUAAACAUUGAGGGUGGUGUAAAAGGUGGGAUUAUUGCAAUAUUUUUUAUGACCCCCACCUUAAAGUCUGCUAAAGUUAUCAUGUUUAAAACAAACAAAAAUUGGAAUGACAAUUUAAAAAGUAUAGUUCCUAUGUGUAGGGACAGUGCCACUCUGCACGUUAAAGAACCCUUGCCACAACUCUUUGAGGGGUCAGUAGGUGGCCUGUUGCAAGGCUUUAUUUCUGUCCAACAUAUCCUCCUCUCAGUUGGCAGUCAAAAUUUCCCUUACCUUCAUCAUCGGCCAACUUUAUAGAACCUACAAAUUGAUUUGUUAUGAAAAGAAGAGAUGCAAGACAACUAUCCUACAGAGACCAAAUGAAGUUGCAUGUUACUGUAUGGACUUCAACAAUGAGAAAAUCAACUAACAUUAAAAUUUUGCAAUAUUCUGAAUUAGAAUGACUUUGUUAAUACCUCUAACCUUUAACAUCUGAUAUUUUUAUUAUCUAGAGCUCUGUAAAAAAAAAUAUCAAAAAAAAUAUAAAAAAAGAAAAUACCAAAAAAUAAUAUAUGAAAACAAAAUCGUUUGUAAACAGAGUUCUAGAUAAUAAACAUUGAGGGUGGUGUAAAAGGUGGGAUUAUUGUAAUAUUUUUUAUGACCACCACCUUAAAGCCUUUUUAUGUUAUCAUUUUUAAAACAAACAAAAAUUGGAAUUGCAAUUUAAAAAGUAUAUAGUUCCUAUGUGUAGGGACAGUGCCACUCUGCACGUUAAAGAAUCCUUGCCACAAGUCUUUGAAGGGUCAGUAGGUGACUGUUCCAAGGCUAAAUUUCUUCCAAACAUGUCCUCCUCUCAGUUGGCAGUCAAAAUUUCCCCUACCUUCAUCAUCGGCCCACUUUAUAGAAUAUACAAAUUGAUUUGUUAUGAAAUGAAGAGAUGUGAGACAACUAUCCUAUAGAGACCAAAUGAAGUUGCACGUUACUGUAUGGACUUCUACAAUGAGAAAAUCAACUAACAUUAAAAUUUUGCAAUAUUCUGAAUUAGAAUGACUUUGUUAAUACCUCUAACCUUUAACAUCUGAUAUUUUUAUUAUCUAGAGCUCUGUCAAAAAAAAGAAAAUACCAAAAAAUAAUAUGAAAACAAAAUUGUUUGUAAACAGAGUUCUAGAUAAUAAACAUUGAGGGUGGUGUAAAAGGUGGGAUUAUUGUAAUGUUUUUUAUGACCCCCACCUUAAAGUCUCCUAAAGUUAUCAUAAUUAAAACAAAACAAAAAUUGGAAUGGCAAUUUAAAAAGUAUAGUUCCUAUGUGAAUGAUGUGUAGGGACAGUGCCACUCUGCACGUUAAAGAACCCUUGCCACAACUCUUUGAGGGGUCAGUAGGUGGCCUGUUGCAAGGCUUAAUUUCUGCCAAACAUAUCCUCCUCUCAGUUGGCAGUCAAAAUUUCCCCUACCUUCAUCAUCAGCCCAUUUUUAUAGAACCUAUUUUGCAAUAUUCUGAUUUAGAAUGACUUUGCCUCUAACCUUUAAAAUCUGAUAUUUUUAUUAUUUAGAGCUCUGUAAAAAAAUAUAAAAAAAGAAAAUACCAAAAAAUAAUAUGAAAACAAAAUCGUUUGAAACAGAGUUCUAGAUAAUAAACAUUGAGGAUGUUGUAAAAAGUAGGCAUAUUUAAAAUUUUGUUUAUUAUUAUGAAUAGUGCACUGUAUAAUUUGUAAACAUGUUUAUUGUGAAGUCUUGCAAAAUUGUGAAACUUUAGAACUGUGUUUAUUUGAGAUGUCUAUAUUCAGUCUUCAAUGAUUGUCUUGGCAAUUGAGGACAAUAGAAUAUAGCUCUGUGUAGAAACUGACUUUUUUAUAUCAAGAAAGAUCCAACAAAAGCUUUCAAUGAUAUCUAAAGAGACGAAAGACAGAAAUACUAAAAGGUUUUCUAUGAGAUUGGUGGAUUAUGUACAGUCAGACAACUGGCACACUCAAGCUAAAAGUUAAAUAGCUAUUAAAAUAAAAUUAUGGACUUGUAUAAUAACAUUAAUGAAGACAGAUGUUCUAUAGUGAAAACAUGUUCCUACAUAAUGUUCUAUAGUGAAGACAUGUUCAUACAUAAUGCUGUAUAGUGAAGACAUGUUCCUACAUAUUGUUCUAUAGUGAAGACACGUUCCUACAUAAUGCUGUAUAGUGAAGACAUAUUCCUACAUAUUGUUCUAUAGUGAAGACAUGUUCCUACAUAAUGUUCUAUAGUGAAGACAUGUUCAUACAUAAUGCUGUAUAGUGAAGACAUGUUCCUACAUAUUGUUCUAUAGUGAAGACACGUUCCUACAUAAUGCUGUAUAGUGAAGACAUAUUCCUACAUAUUGUUCUAUAGUGAAGACAUGUUCCUACUUAAUGUCUUAUAGUGCAGACAUGUUCCUACAUAUUGUUCUAUAGUGAAGACAUGUUCCUACAUAAUGUUCUAUAGUGAAGACAUGUUCCUACAUAUUGUUCUAUAGUGAAGACAUGUUCAUACAUAAUGCUGUAUAGUGAAGACAUAUUCCUACAUAAUGUUCUUUAGUGAAGACACGUUCCUACAUAAUGUUCUAUAGAGAAGACACGUUCCUACAUAAUGUUCUUUAGUGAAGACAGAUGUUCUAUAGCACAAACAGAUGUUCCUAAGUUGCAAUGAAGUGUUCAGAAGACAGACAGUGUUUCCUUUUGCAAUGAAAUUAUCCAGAACACAUAGUUGAUUAGAUUUCCAGUUCAUUACAUAUUCUGACGUUUUCUCAAGAAAAACACAAGAUUUCAAUGUUCAAACUGAAAGGAGAAAUUCUUAAAAUUUAUGCUGGACAUCUCAUAUCAAGGAUCCAUCACAAUAUUGAUAUUAGACUUAUGAAGAAUAUUCUGAUAAAUUAAUGAUGUACGACAAAUCGUGCUACAAGUAUCAUACCAACAGAAUUAUUUGAUGGGAGUAAAACAUAGGAGCAGGAUCUCACCUCAUACAAGUGAGGAGGAACAGUUGAACUGAUGAACUUUGAACUGAUGAACUUGGAAACAUCUGAAAGGUAUACAUAAGAAAAACAGACCACCUAGAAUAAGAAAAGAGAAAGAUUAACUCAUAGAGUAAAGUGUAAAAACAGACCACAUAGAAUAAGGAAAGAGAAAGAUUAACUCAUAGAGUAAAGUGUAAAAACAGACCACAUAGAAUAAGGAAAGAGAAAGAUUAACUCAUAGAGUAAAGGGUAGACGAAACUAUCAACACUUUGAAAUUAACAAGAGCAAUAAUCAACAUUACAGCUGCUUCAUCACCAUCUCAGAGGUUAGGUCUCUAACUGACUCAACUGAUGAACUUAUAACAAGCUUAACAGAUUAUCAGCAUAGUUGAACAAUGAACACUUCAGAGACAAAAUAUUCUUGGCAAUGAAAAUAUAUGACUGAAAUUAACAUAACAGCUGCUUCAUAACAAACUUAGAGGUUAGAGCUGACUCAACUGAUCAACAUGGAACAAACUUUAACAUAUUAACAGCAUAGUAAUCUUGAUUUGCUUGGUCUUUAACCUCUGUUCCUGUAUAAAGGAUAAAAUCUUUGAGUAAAAAUGGUCUGAAUAAUGCUUUAAAAUCUAUCUACUUUGAAUUUUGUACAAAUUCAAUAUAGAAAACAAUAUCAAGGAAUAAAAUAAAAUAAUUUCCCUACCUACCUACCCAUACUCUGAAAACCUCAAUCGGGAAGGGGAAACAAAGAUAUUUUUAAUGAUGGCCUAAUAUUCUUGUCAAUUAAAAUAUAUGACUGAAAUUUCAUAAUUGUAUAUGGUCAGUGGGAGAGAGAGAAAGAUGUAGAAUGUUCAGAGUGGGAGAGGGAGAACACUUAUGAUGGUGAGGGGGGAGAAAUAAAGAACAAUUUUUGCAACUGGUAAAUUUGUCUUCAACCAAACUCAUGGCUUGUGAUGAUGUGUCUACCUUAGACAUCUGAUAUUUUUAUUAUCUAGAGCUCUGUUUAAAAAAAAAAUGUAAAAAAUAAUAUGAAAACAAAAUUUAAACAGUUCUAGAUAAUAAACAUUAAGGGUGGUGUAAAAAGUGGGCAUAUUUUAAAUUUUCUUUUUUUCACCAAUGUAUUUAUGAAAUUUAAAACUUUAAAGUCAAAAUGUUUAAUUGGACGUACAAUUGUUUUGAUUUUAGAUAUUUGGAGACAAAACCUAUUCUUCUCCAUUUAUUACACUCUAAAAGUGUCAUUAAUUUGCAAUAUUCUUAUUUUGAUUGUCUUUGCUUAUACCUCUAACCUUAGACAUCCAAUAUUUUUAUUAUCUAGAGCUCUGUAAAAAAAAAUAACAAAAUUGUAAAUAGAGUUCUAGAUAAUAAACAUUAAGGGUGGUGUAAAAAGUGGUUAUAUUUUUUAUAUUUUGAAUUCUCCCCCUCCCCAAUAUAUUUACGAAAUUAAAUACAAGAGAUAUUUAUAAGUGUUGGAUAAGUUUUUUCCUUUCAUUAGUGUAUUUUAAAAAAUGUUUUUUUCAAGCUGUACAUUUUUCUUGGGUAUUGAAAAUGGCUUUGAAGUAAAUAUGUUUAAUUGGAAGCAGAAUUUUUUUAUUAUUAGAUAUUGGAGACAAAACCUAUCUUCUCUGUAUAUUUCACCUUAACAGUGUCUUAGAUUUGCAAUGUCUUUGCUUAUACCUCUAAGUUCUAACCUUAGACAUCCAAUAUUUUUAUUAUCAAGAGCUCUGUAAAAAAAAAAAUAAAAAAAAUAAAACAAAA